AUGUUGAUGGGUGAUGCAAACUCUAGGUAAAGACAUAGGCUGUAGGUCAGAUAUUACUGCAAGUAUUCUUAGGCUGCACAUCUGUAGCACUACCAGCAUUAUAUGAAUGAGGGCGGCUGAGCGCUUACUUGAGUGAUACUCCAAGAUGUCCUGGCUGGACAGUGUCCCACAGGGUUUUGCAUGAGGUUCUUUUGGAAGACCAAUACAUUUAUUUUCUUGUGGUCUAUAAAAGGAACCUCCACCUUAGGGUACCCUUAGGCUAAAUCAUUCAGAACAGACACUUGGUCACAUGCUGAAAUACCUACUUGAAAGCUUCAUCUUAAUCUUGAAGCCAUACAGCUCUUUUGUCUCCCGAAAUGGCCUCAAAAUGACUGCGUUCUGUAGAAGUGUGUGUUAGUAACCAGCGCGGUGGAAGGUCAGACUGAUCAGCAAUGAGUUUCUUUCUUUCAAAAGCAACUGUAGUUCAGAGUCCUGUGGUAUGACCUUGCUAGGGCUGUAAGUGUGUGUUUAAUUCACAAAUCCUCUCUUGUUAAAAGAAAAGAAGAAAAAAAUCUGUUAUCAGUGUAGCAGUGAGCAGAGCAAGCAUGUUAAUGACUGGAGCUGAGGGAUGAGCAUGGAAGACCCAGCUUACUUGUCCUGCUUGUCUGUUACCAUAGGACUACAGAAAGCCAGUAUCACAAUGGGAUAUCUGCUGUUUUAAAGGCCUCAUGCGUUACAACCAAAACAUCAGACUCCAUCUUUUCCCCUGAGGAGAAUGGGAGAAGAGGAUGCCAAGUUCCAGAGAACAAUAAACACUUCGGGCCAAAUCCUCCCUUCGUCUAUGCUGGUGUAAAUCUAACGUCUCUUCAUCCAGCUGACAGCAGAAACACAACAGAACAACAUUAUUCUCUAGCGGUCAACAUUAAUUGCAAACUGAUGGCCACUUCUGAACAUGGGAGUCUUCACUGGGC